GCCCGGACGGGCUUCGGCGUGGAGGGGCUCUUGGUAAAGAUGGAACAUUUGGCAAAAAUACCGGACAAUUUUGCAAAUUACAUGGCUGGCUUACAACAUGGUCACUCCGGGAUCACAGGCAAUUCUGGAUGUGGAUAGAUCGGGCCGUUUUGGACUGAAUGACGCGUGCUUGCUAGACCGGCUAGCUAGCAUGGGAAUACUUUGCCGGCUACAUCCAGCGGCCUGUGAAGCAGCGGAGUAUAUGUGUUGUCUGUCUAUUUAUGAAUAAUGCAGACGAGGCGUGUUAGCUGAGUUCUUAACGUUUGCUUUCAGAGCGUGCAUAUCACAACAUACAAGAGGCCGUCAUGGCGACACAACCUAUACCGGGCUACCGCGCAUGCUCGUCACUCCUGUUGCAUGCUGGGUCCUGCGAUGUGCGACUUGUCCAGGGUGUACCCCCCCUUUCGCCCGAGUGCAGCUGAGAUAGGCUCCAACCCCCUCCGCGACCCCGAAAAGGACAAGCGGAUGUGAGCAAGUUCUACUUUUCUUUGGUUCCACGUGUACCUUGAAGUGAGCUGGGGUAGGCUCCUGCACAGCCCACCUGUCACCCAGAACAGUGGAAAAUGAAUGUAUAUCCGCUUCAUUUAUGUUUGGAACCAAAACUAACCUGUAUGUUGUUUUUUUUUGGAUUUGUCA